rnacentral:rRNA from 1 species
GCGGCCUAACACAUGCAAGUCGAGCGGUAGCGCAGGGUAGCUUGCUAUUUUGGCGGCGAGCGGCGGACGGGUGAGUAAUGUCUGGGAAACUGCCUGAUGGAGGGGGAUAACUACUGGAAACGGUAGCUAAUACCGCAUAACGUCGCAAGACCAAAGAGGGGGACCUUCGGGCCUCUUGCCAUCAGAUGUGCCCAGAUGGGAUUAGCUAGUAGGUGGGGUAACGGCUCACCUAGGCGACGAUCCCUAGCUGGUCUGAGAGGAUGACCAGCCACACUGGAACUGAGACACGGUCCAGACUCCUACGGGAGGCAGCAGUGGGGAAUAUUGCACAAUGGGCGCAAGCCUGAUGCAGCCAUGCCGCGUGUAUGAAGAAGGCCUUCGGGUUGUAAAGUACUUUCAGCGGGGAGGAAGGCGAUGAGGUUAAUAACCUUGUCGAUUGACGUUACCCGCAGAAGAAGCACCGGCUAACUCCGUGCCAGCAGCCGCGGUAAUACGGAGGGUGCAAGCGUUAAUCGGAAUUACUGGGCGUAAAGCGCACGCAGGCGGUCUGUCAAGUCGGAUGUGAAAUCCCCGGGCUCAACCUGGGAACUGCAUUCGAAACUGGCAGGCUAGAGUCUUGUAGAGGGGGGUAGAAUUCCAGGUGUAGCGGUGAAAUGCGUAGAGAUCUGGAGGAAUACCGGUGGCGAAGG